rnacentral:snRNA from 1 species
UUGUCCUUCACGUAUGUUAACCGACU